CCCCGGCGAGGGGAGUGAAAAAGAACCUGAAACCGUGUACGUACAAGCAGUGGGAGCACGCUUAGGCGUGUGACUGCGUACCUUUUGUAUAAUGGGUCAGCGACUUAUAUUCUGUAGCAAGGUUAACCGAAUAGGGGAGCCGAAGGGAAACCGAGUCUUAACUGGGCGUUAAGUUGCAGGGUAUAGACCCGAAACCCGGUGAUCUAGCCAUGGGCAGGUUGAAGGUUGGGUAACACUAACUGGAGGACCGAACCGACUAAUGUUGAAAAAUUAGCGGAUGACUUGUGGCUGGGGGUGAAAGGCCAAUCAAACCGGGAGAUAGCUGGUUCUCCCCGAAAGCUAUUUAGGUAGCGCCUCGUGAAUUCAUCUCCGGGGGUAGAGCACUGUUUCGGCAAGGGGGUCAUCCCGACUUACCAACCCGAUGCAAACUGCGAAUACCGGAGAAUGUUAUCACGGGAGACACACGGCGGGUGCUAACGUCCGUCGUGAAGAGGGAAACAACCCAGACCGCCAGCUAAGGUCCCAAAGUCAUGGUUAAGUGGGAAACGAUGUGGGAAGGCCCAGACAGCCAGGAUGUUGGCUUAGAAGCAGCCAUCAUUUAAAGAAAGCGUAAUAGCUCACUGGUCGAGUCGGCCUGCGCGGAAGAUGUAACGGGGCUAAACCAUGCACCGAAGCUGCGGCAGCGACGCUGAUGCGUUGUUGGGUAGGGGAGCGUUCUGUAAGCCUG
rnacentral:rRNA from 1 species